GACGAACGCUGGCGGCGUGCUUAACACAUGCAAGUCGAACGGAAAGGCCCGGCUUUUGUUGGUUUCUCGUUUGGCGAACGGGUGAGUAACACGUGAGUAACCUGCCCUUGUCUUUGUGAUAACUUCAGGAGACUGGGGCUCAUACCGGAUAUGAUCUCCUGCUGCAUGGUGUUGGUUGGAAAGUUUCGGCGGUUGGGGAUGUACUCGCGGCUUAUCCGCUUGUUAGUGUGGUAGUGACUUACGAAGGCUUUGACGGGUAGCCGGCCUGAGAGGGUGACCGGCCACAUUGGGACUGAGAUACGGCCCAGAAUGCUACGGGAGGCAGCAGGGGAGAAUAUUGCACAAUGGGCGGAAGCCUGAGGCAGAAACGCCGCGUGCGGGAUGACGGCCUUCGGGUUGUAAACAGAUUUCGAAGGAGACGAAGCGUGAGUGACGGUAAUGGGUAAAGAAGCACCGGCUAACUACGUG
rnacentral:rRNA from 1 species